rnacentral:rRNA from 1 species
UACGAAGGGGGCGAGCGUUGUUCGGAUUUACUGGGCGUAAAGGGCGCGCAGGCGGUCUUGAAAGUCAGGCGUGAAAGCCCCGGGCUUAACCUGGGAAUUGCGCUUGAUACUCUGAGACUGGAGUACGGGAGAGGAGAGUGGAAUUCCCAGUGUAGAGGUGAAAUGCGCAGAUAUCAGGAGGAACACCGGUGGCGAAGGCGGGUCUCUGGGCCGAUACUGACGCUGAGGAGCGAAAGCGUGGGGAGCGAACAGG